GUGGCUGUGCACGGGGUCGAUGACGCCGCCCGUGGCGAUCUGGGCCUCCAGCAGGCGGAUGCCGUGCUCGCGCACGAUGAGGUCCUUCUUCAUGGCCUGGAAGAGGGAGAUCUGCUGCCCGGUGUAGGGGUCGGUGUAGCCGGUGACCGCACGCUCGGCCGACAGCAGCUUCUCCUGGAGCUCGCCGCCCACCACGCCCGCGGCCACCGCCUCCUCCACGGACAGCUUCUGGUUGCGCACCGGGUCGAUGACGAAGCCCGUGGCCGCCUGCGCCUCCAGCAGCACCAGGGCCGUGCCCGGCCGCAGGACGCCCUUCCACAUGGCCUGGUAGAUGCUCAUCUUCUCCUGGCGCCCGGGCUCGUCCUUGGCGGGGACCAGCACGCCCGCGAUGCAGCUGGUGCCCUCCAGGUAGCGCUUCACCGAGUCCAUCUCCGUCACCUCCUGCAGGGUCUUGGUGCCCUGGGCCAGGUCCCGCAGGGUCUCGGGGCCCAGGAUCCCGGACGUGUGCAGCUCGGAGGCCGACACCUGGCGCCUCAGGCCCCGGAAGGACACCUUGCUCAGCCGCUCCUCCGUCUCCUCGAUGAGCUGGGUGAGGACGGCGACCAGGGCGGGCAGGGCCAGGGCGCCGGCCGCGUGCUGGGCCAGCAGCUCGUCCCGGCGGGCCUGGCUCAGGUAGGAGGAGAAGAGGACCUCCCACACGGAGACGCGCCGGCCCUGGAACCGCCCGACGCGCACCUCCAUGGUGGCGGCGCGCAGGGCCUGCUCCUGCAGGGCCCUGGCGGCAUCCGCGGCGUCGGCGUCCUGGCCGGAGGAGGGUCCCGCGUCGGCCCCCUCGCCCGGCCCCUGGGGCCCGGGCUCCCGCUGCCCGGAGGCUGCGCCCCCUUGGGAGGGGGCCGCCUCAGCCUCCUCGAUGAUGGUGGUCAGCCUGCGGGUCAGCGCGGGCAAGCCCAGCGUCCCCGACCCGAACUGGGCCAGCAGCUGCUCCCGCGUGGCGGCGCUCACGUAGCCGGAGGCCAGCACGUCC
ensembl:lncRNA